rnacentral:rRNA from 1 species
UACGAAGGGGGCUAGCGUUGUUCGGAAUUACUGGGCGUAAAGGGCGCGUAGGCGGCGUGUCAAGUCAGGCGUGAAAGCCCCGGGCUCAACCUGGGAACCGCGCUUGAGACUGGCAUGCUCGAGUUCGGGAGAGGAUGGUGGAAUUCCCAGUGUAGAGGUGAAAUUCGUAGAUAUUGGGAAGAACACCGGUGGCGAAGGCGGCGAGCUGGCCCGUUUCUGACGCUGAGGCGCGACAGCGUGGGGAGCAAACAGG